UACAGAGGUCCCAAGCGUUGUUCGGAUUCAUUGGGCGUAAAGGGUGCGUAGGUGGUGCCGUAAGUCAGGUGUGAAAUCUCGGGGCUCAACCCCGAAACUGCACUUGAUACUGCGGUGCUCGAGGACUGGAGAGGAGAUUGGAAUUCAUGGUGUAGCAGUGAAAUGCGUAGAUAUCAUGAGGAAGACCAGUGGCGAAGGCGGAUCUCUGGACAGUUCCUGACACUGAGGCACGAAGGCCAGGGGAGCAAACAGG
rnacentral:rRNA from 1 species